AACGACUCUCGGCAACGGAUAUCUCGGCUCUCGCAUCGAUGAAGAACGCAGCGAAAUGCGAUACUUGGUGUGAAUUGCAGGAUCCCGCGAACCAUCGAGUCUUUGAACGCAAGUUGCGCCCGAAGCCUUUCGGCCGAGGGCACGUCUGCCUGGGUGUCACUCAACCGUCGCCCCAGCCCCCUUCCAACGGGAGGGG
rnacentral:rRNA from 1 species